rnacentral:rRNA from 1 species
UACGGAGGAUGCGAGCGUUAUCCGGAUUUAUUGGGUUUAAAGGGUGCGCAGGCGGUCUGUUAAGUCAGCGGUCAAAGCCCGGGGCUCAACCCCGGCCCGCCGUUGAAACUGGCAGUCUCGAGUUGGAGAGAAGUAUGCGGAAUGCGCGGUGUAGCGGUGAAAUGCUUAGAUAUCGCGCAGAACCCCGAUUGCGAAGGCAGCGUACCGGCUCCACACUGACGCUGAGGCACGAAAGCGUGGGGAGCAAAUAGG